UGCAGGGUAGGAGCCUGGAGAGAACUUCGAGCAAGGAAACCGCCCCAGCUGUGCACGGGCUCGGGGCAGCUGUGCGUUAACCUGUGAUCAUUUUCUCUCGUGGAUCGGCUCUCUUGAUGGGAAACAGAUGGCACAGAAGCCCGGAUCUCACUCCUGAUGAGCUAGAGGUCUGCCAUCAGAAGAGCUGUUCUACCACGGCAUAGCCUGCCUGAGGGAGGUCAUACCAAGACAUGGCUUCCUCUAGCUCGC